CCAACAUUUGGUGUUUUCAGACCUUUCAUUCUAUUCAUUCAGGGUGAAAUUUAUUGAUUGAUUCUUGAAUGUUAAACCAACCUUGAAUUCCCAGAAUGGUGCAGCUCUUCUGAGCUUUUUCCAGUCCUGAAAGACCAUGGGAAGUCUAUCUAUGCUCUUCAGAUGCCCUUCCCAGGGAUGGAUGAUUGUAUCCUAUGUUGAGACUUGUCAUCUGUAAUGCAGUACACAUUACCAGCUUACCAAUAGGUGGUUCUUCUCUACUUCUACAGUGGACUUAAUAGUUAAUGCCUGAUGGUGAAUGAAAUGGACACAAUUCCUUCUUCAGAGAGCUUCUCAUCUAAUGGAAUGUUUCAAGCAGGAAAUGACAUGAGCAAUUGGAAUUUUAAACGAUAUCUCUAAGUACCAUUUAAGAGGAGAUUGGAAUAGAGUAAGAGAUUCAAGGAGACCCCCUUAGGCGGCUACUGCAAUUUUCCAAGCAAUAUAUGAUUAUGGAUUGGACUGUUAUGGAGAAAUGGAUAUGGACCAUAUGUAAGACAUUGAAGAAUAAACUCAAACAAGAGUCAAUAACAUAUUAAAGAUGAGAAAGAGAGGACUGUUUCAAGAAAUACUCUUUUUCUGACUGAUAAGGCAAUAUGAAUGGUGGGGAUAAUCAGUGAAAGAAGGAGUAAUGGAAGAGCAUUGAGAGUCAAACUGAAAGGUAGUCAUGAGUUUUAGAUGAAUUUAUUCUCAGAAUAAGGCAAUUAAAGCCCAGAAGCAGUUGUGCAAAAACAAUUCAAUUGAAUCCCUCACUUUGCAGGUGAAGAGGUGAGGGCCAGAGAUUAUAAAAGUGUGACUUUUUAAGCCUUAUAUAAAAUAUGAAUACAUAUGUACAUACAUUUGCAAAAACCUAGUACCAUGUUGCCAAAUUGUCCACUUUAGAAUGAAUAUGUGCCUAUAAUCCGUUAUUCUGAAAUAUUUGAAAAUUCAUGGUCAAAGAAACAACUUAUGAUUUUUAUAUAAUUUCCUAGAAAAAGUAUAAUGGGAAAACAAACAUCACAACCCCAAAUUUAAUAAUUAUUGAAAAAUGGAUGAAGGAGAAAUAAAAAAUUUAAAUUACAGAAUUAUAAAUCUCAUUUUCCCACUAGCUAUACAUUGCCAGCACAUAGGACAAUACUGUUUAGAUGGCCAACACAUAAAGAAUGUUACAAUGGAAGAUAUUUUUGAACAGCAAGCACUAAAUUUAUAUUUUCUAAAAUCGAAAUUGAGGCAGGCAUGGUGGCUCAGGCCUAUAAUUCCAGCAUUUUGAAAGACCAACGUUGGAAGGCCAUUUGAGGCCAGGAGCUUGAGACCAGCCCACGCAACAUAGCGAGGUCCCAUCUCUACAAAAAAUUUAAAAUAUUAGCCAGGCGUGUUAGUGCCUGCCUGUAGUUCCAGUUACCUGGGGGGCUGAGGUGGGAGGAUCACCUGAACCUGGGAGCAGUGAUCGCACCACUGCACUCCCACCUGGGUGACAGACCAAGACUCUGUCUCAAAAAGAUAAAUUUAAAAUUAACCUUAAAAAAUUAAAAUAGCAAUUCUGUAAUUCUGAUAUUGAUAAAGUUGGAAGGGAAAUGGCUUACUCUAUAAUUUAAAUGGUUAAUUAAAAUCAGAACAUCAACAUAAAAGUUUUUUUAUAUAUUGGGGUAUUUUAAAGCUUUUUGUUAUAUGAAACUCAAAGAAUUGAGAAAGUGAAGUUUCUAAUAUAAAUAUAUACUAAAGCAAAACCUUAAUUUUAAUAAUAAGCUUGAUACUUUAGAGAUUAAAACUUCUGUACCAAAUAUGUCAGGUAGGGUAAUGGCCUUACUCCUUAGAAUUCAUGAACUAUUCCUUCAAGUGCCAAACCACUUCAACACAUUUCAGUACUGGCAGGGAUGUAUAUACAAACGCUAGCAAAGACAAAUUAUUUAGGAUAGCCAUUCAAUCAGUCCAAAAAUGUAGAACAAAUAUUAAAAUGAACUGAAUUAACUUCCAUAUAUAUAUAUAUAUAUAUAUAUAUAUAUAUAUAUGAAUUUUCUGUCUCAUAUAUACAUAUAUAUACAUAUGAAAGAAAAAGUCUCACUCUGCGCACUCUGUCACCCAGGCUGGAGUGCAGUGGUGUGAUCACGGCUCACUGCAGCCUAAGUCUCUCCAGGCUCAGGUGAUCUUCCUACCUCAGCCUCUCAAGUAGCUGGGAUUACAGGCAUGUGUCACCACACUCAGCUAAUUUUUGUAUUUUGGGGGUUUUGCCAAGAGACAGGGUUUUGCCAUGUUUCCCACGCUGGUCUCAAACUCUUGGGCUCAAGCUUUCCUUCUGCCUUUGCCUCCCAAAGUGGUGGGAUUACAAGCAUAAGUCACCAGGCCUGACCAACGCCCAUAUAUUUGAUGCCACUGCUACAUGGGGGACACACUGUGUUGCACAUUGUUAAUUCCAAUGGACAUAAUAAAAUGGUUACGAUUCUUUAAAAUUAUGUGUAUAUAGUAUCUGUAUGACCUUCAUUACAGCACACAACAAAUCAUUUACCAAGUGCCUUUAAUGUGCCAGAUCCUGUGCUAGGGUAUGUUAAAAAUGAGAAAGCUAUAACUUCUCUUCUCAGGAAUUCUUGGUCUAGUGCACCUAAAAAUUAUGAGACUCUAAAGAUACAGGCUUGAAAAAUGUAGACUAUGAGGAUAAAAGAGAGCCAUGAAGAAGAAACCAUAAGGAAGAGGCACUUUAAACCUUUCCCACUGAAAGCAAUAUGUUAAUUCCUUAGUCAGCUCUACAAUUCUCUGAAUGAGGAGUGUGUGUUUGUGUGUGUGCAUGUGCCAUAAACACCACUGGUGGAAGAACAAGAGAAUUCCAGUUCAUAAGUAGAAACUGUGGAAAUGAAGGAAAAGGAAAAACUGCAGAAACUACACAAGGCUAGACUUCACUUUCCAUAUUCCUAUUUCUUGAUACCUACCCGAGAGUCACGGUCAGAAAUCACAGCUGUUCCAUAACACUCUGAGGGCAUGAUGGUCUGAUACAUGACAGAUUCAUCUAAGAGAGGAUCCAGUACACAUUCUAUACAUAGAAGUUUUGCUUCAUAAAGAGUAAUUAAGAAGAGGAAAAGAAAAAUUAUGAGCAAAUAUUUAUUGAAAACUAAAGAAAAUAGAGAGACACUUAUUAUAGCACAUAUUGAGAAAUACACUUGAGAACAAUUGUACCAGAUGCCGACUUGCAGUAUGCUCUAGGAUAAAAAGGAAAAAAAAUGAAAAUGGUUCUCCAAACCCAAGGUAAAAAUGAACACAAAGAGUAAUAACACUAAUAAUAUUUGUAAAUAAUGAACUCAAUUACAGAAGAUUUUUACACUCAG
rnacentral:lncRNA from 10 species